UACGGGGGGGGCAAGCGUUGUUCGGAAUUAUUGGGCGUAAAGGGCGCGUAGGCGGUUCGGCAAGUCUCUAGUGAAAUCUCUGGGCUCAACUCAGAGUCUGCUGGGGAAACUGCCGGGCUUGAGUGUGGGAGAGGAGAGUGGAAUUCCCGGUGUAGCGGUGAAAUGCGUAGAUAUCGGGGAGGAACACCUGUGGCGAAAGCGGCUCUCUGGACCACAACUGACGCUGAGG
rnacentral:rRNA from 1 species